rnacentral:rRNA from 1 species
GAAAGGCACCACGAGAGUUAUACUGUCUCCUAUCUCUAAUCAGUGAAACUAAUCUUCCCGUGAAGAAGCGGGGAUUUCUAUAUAAGACGAGAAGACCCUAUGGAGCUUUAAAUAAUAAUAUCAUUUGCUAAUUUACCCGAACCUUUUCAGAAAACUUACUCUCACUCUAGCAUCAUGAUCAUUAAUUUUAGGUUGGGGCGACCACGGAGCACAAAAUAACCUCCACACUGAAAUAGAGCCUAAACUCUAAGCAAAAAGUCACAACUUUCUGCAUCAAAAAAUUGACACCAAUUGACCCAAUAUUUUGACCAAUGAACCAAGUUACCCUAGGGAUAACAGCGCAAUCCACUUCAAGAGCUCCUAUCGACAAGUGG